UGCCGCGUGUGUGAAGAAGGCCUUCGGGUUGUAAAGCACUUUCAGCGAGGAAGAAGGCCUGAGGGUUAAUACCCUUCAGGAAGGACAUCACUCGCAGAAGAAGCACCGGCUAACUCCGUGCCAGCAGCCGCGGUAAUACGGAGGGUGCGAGCGUUAAUCGGAAUUACUGGGCGUAAAGCGCGCGUAGGUGGCUUGAUAAGCCGGUUGUGAAAGCCCCGGGCUCAACCUGGGAACGGCAUCCGGAACUGUCAGGCUAGAGUGCAGGAGAGGAAGGUAGAAUUCCCGGUGUAGCGGUGAAAUGCGUAGAGAUCGGGAGGAAUACCAGUGGCGAAGGCGGCCUUCUGGACUGACACUGACACUGAGGUGCGAAAGCGUGGGUAGCAAACAGGAUUAGAUACCCUGGUAGUCCACGCCGUAAACGAUGUCGACUAGCCGUUGGGUUCCUUGAGAACUUUGUGGCGCAGUUAACGCGAUAAGUCGACCGCCUGGGGAGUACGGCCGCAAGGUUAAAACUCAAAUGAAUUGACGGGGGCCCGCACAAGCGGUGGAGCAUGUGGUUUAAUUCGAUGCAACGCGAAGAACCUUACCUACCCUUGACAUCGUGCGAACUUGGUAGAGAUACCUUGGUGCCUUCGGGAACGCACAGACAGGUGCUGCAUGGCUGUCGUCAGCUCGUGUUGUGAAAUGUUGGGUUAAGUCCCGUAACGAGCGCAACCCUUGUCCCUAUUUGCCAGCGAUUCGGUCGGGAACUCUAGGGAG
rnacentral:rRNA from 1 species